GCCAGAGUGCAGAGGGAGGAUGAUGUGAAUGAGGAACCUAACUGGUGUGACAAGAGUGUACACAGCUGGCUUGGGGUCAGCGGAAGAGGCUGCAGAGACAGGCCAGGCCAGAUCAUGCAAGGCCUUUGAGACUGUGCCAAGGAGCUUGAACUGAAUCCUCAGGGCGGUAGGGAGCCAGCCCUGAGUGUUAAAGUGUUUACACAGAUACAGGACAGACAGAAGUGAAGAGACGGAGUCUUGCUGUGUGGUUCAGGCUGGUCUUGAACUGUUGGCCUCAAGCAGUCUUCCCGCCUGGGCCUCCCAAAGCACCAGAAUUACAGGCAUGAGCCACUGCACUCAUCCUGGGAAGAGAUAUUUAAGCCUAGAGUUAUGGAUGAGUAGGUGACAGGCAGAUGGAAGAGCAUAUGCAAAGGCCUGGCAUCAAAAAAGUGCGUGGAGUAAUAAAGUUCAGCGUGGCUGGGGCCUAGAGGGAGUGGAGGGAGCACUGCAAGAUGAAACAGAUGGGCAGGCAGGGACAGAUACAUAUGGCCUGUGCGGAAGCCUCUAUUUGUCCUGAGGGUGUGUCACUCAGCAGCUUCUUUGAUAUGCAGCCAUUGUAUUUCAGGUCAUUGUUCAAAGAGGGCAAUUUUUGACUUUAUUAUUGAUUCUCACCUCACUGUCUCAAUAAUGUUUGAACUGGGGUCACAAUUGAAAGUUAUCUGCCUGGCCGGGUGUGGUGGCUCACGCCUAUAAUCCCAGCACCUUAGGAGGCCAAGGUGGGCAGAUCACCUGAGGUCAGGAAUUUGAGACCAUCCUGGCCAACAUGGUGAAACCCUGUCUCUACUAAAAAUACAAAAAUUAGCCAGGCAUGGUGCCACAUGCCUGUAAUCCCAGCUACUCGGGAAGCUGAGGCACAAUAACAGCCUGAACCUGGGAGGCAGAGGUUGCAGUGAGCUGAGAUUGCGCCGCUGCACUCCAGCCCAGGCGACAGGGCCAGACUCCACCUCAAAAAUAAAUAAAUAAAUAAAUAAAUAAAAAUAAAAAAAAAAAAUCCCAGUAUCUUUCUGACCCUGCACCCCAUGCAGAGACCUCUUUUCUUUUUUAGCAAAACAGACACUGAUACUCUCUUUGCUGAAGGGGGUGGGGAAACGAACAACUGUCUCCAUUUAUGGAAGAUCUCAUUUAAUUAUCACAACAGCCCUGGAAGCUUGGCAUUAUUAUCCCCGUUUUUUAGAUAAGUGCUAAAAGAAAUGAGAAUCUGCAAUAAGGCUCAAGUGAAGUGCAUCUCUCCAGACUAGAGGUUUUGAAUAAAAUGCUAGUCUUUAUUGGAAGAGUAACAACUUGAAAUGGCACUGGCAGGCUUCAGACUGGUAGAGUUUGAGAAUGGAAUUGCAAGGGAGCCAACAGUCAGAUGAGUCAGGUUAGUCGAGCAUCAGAAAGUGCUCAUCAAGGACUUCCCGGAUGCCCAGCCCAGCAUUCCAGAAGAGCAAAGCCCUGUCUCCAUUCUCAAGGAGCUAACAGUCCACGGGGGAGACACACAGACAAGACAUGGUAGUUUCAAUACGCUGUAAGAAGUUCUCACCGAAGAGAACAAUUCAUGAACCAAUGCUAGGGGAGUCCAGGGACAUCUAUAAAGUUUACUAUGUGCUCAGUGCUGAGUGGGAGCAUGGGAGAUGUACAAGAGCUAGCAGUUUAGAUAUUAACCCAAUCUCUCUUCUUUUGACGCCCUUUCCUUUAUUCCACCAACACCUAUAAAUGGCUGAUUGUGUGCCAAGUAUUAGGGAUAAAGCAAUAAAUGAGUAGAUACAGUAUCCACCCUCAGUCUAAUAGAGGAGACAGCUACUUAAUAAAUAAUCAUGCAGACCCUCAACAAUACCUAGAAGAUCUUUGCAGGGAUGCAAGAGUGAUAAGAGUAUUUGCCUCUGGGAAGGAGAACUGAGAAUCAGAGGGCCAGGAGCAGAAGCUAAUUUUCUUUUCCUAGUAUGCUAUUAUUACUGUCUGUAUUUUAUAUGCGGGUAUUUUAUGAAUUACCUUUUUUUAAGUGAAAUUUAAUAAUCAUCACACAAAUAAAUAUGCCAUUAAAAACUGUGAUAAAUGCCAUGAUGGAAAAGUUUAAGGUAUCUGAGAGGGUAACAGGAGGAACUACUUUAUUUUAUUAUCAUUCAUUUUUUGAGAUAUGGUUUCCCUCUGUUGCCCAAGCUGUAGUGCACUGGCUUGAUCAUGGCUCACUGCAGCCUUGACCUCCUGGGGCUCAGGUGAUCCUCCCACCUCAGCCUCUGAGUAGCUGGGACUACAGACAAGUGCCACCAUGCCCAGGUAAUUUUUGUAUUUCUUGUAAAGACAGGGUUUUGCCUUGUUGCCCAACCUGGUCUUGAACUCCUGGGCUCAAGCAAUCUGCCCACCUUAAGCUCCCAAAGUGCUGGAAUUACAGGCGUGGGCCACUGCAUCUGGCCAGGAAUUGCUUUAAGUUGAGGAGUCAGUUAAAGGCAUUUUCAUGAAAAGGUCACUGAAGUGAAGACCCACAGGUUUAAGUUGUAGGUGACCAGGCAGAGUGCAGGGAAGCAUUCUAGAGGAGGACCCAGUGUAUAUAAAUCCUGGAGGCGAGGCGAUGCUUGGUGUGUUCCAGGAAUCUGAGGAAACCAGUGUGAUGGAACCACUCAGAUGAAGGAAAAUAUCUUUUUAUAACCCCAAUUCAUUCUAUGAAUGAAUCCAGCACCUAUGUUAGGCUGGAAGGGUGAUGAAGACAGGGAGAGUAUCUAUUUUGUUCACUGCUAGAGCAGUACGUAGCAUCCUGUAGGUAAUUAAGUUCUUGUUGCAUGCAUAAAUGAAGAAAUUCAAACUAUAAAAAUGUCAAGUGGUGGAUUUGCAUUAAUGCUCUACUGCCUAAGAGUUGGGGAUUUAUCGAAUCCGAGAACCACUGGAGGGUAGAGUCAGGGAAACCAAGUAUAGGCUAAACAAGUCACUGAAAGAGCUGAUAUGUCUGGGUAUAAGCUGUGGUCACAAUACAGUAUAACAGAACCAUGGCCUUCUGAAUUCUAUUGUUUUAUUUAUGGCUUGUUGG
rnacentral:lncRNA from 10 species